GACGAACGCUGGCGGCGUGCUUAACACAUGCAAGUCGAACGGAAAGGCCCUGCUUUUGUGGGGUGCUCGAGUGGCGAACGGGUGAGUAACACGUGAGUAACCUGCCCUUGACUUUGGGAUAACUUCAGGAAACUGGGGCUAAUACCGGAUAGGAGCUCCUGCUGCAUGGUGGGGGUUGGAAAGUUUCGGCGGUUGGGGAUGGACUCGCGGCUUAUCAGCUUGUUGGUGGGGUAGUGGCUUACCAAGGCUUUGACGGGUAGCCGGCCUGAGAGGGUGACCGGACGAAGAGGGGGCGUGGGGGGGCCAAGGAGCGGAGGGGAGGGAGGGGAGGGGAAGAUGGCACAGGGGGGGGGCGCAUGGGGCGGAAACGGCGGGGGCGGCAAGGGGGCCUUGGGGGUGGAGAGCGGCGGCGGGGGCGGCGAGGGGGGGGGGGAGGUGAGGGGUAGAAGCGCCACGGCUAAGUACGGGAGAGCAGCCGCGGGAGUAAAGGGAGGGGCAGCCGGCCGAAC
rnacentral:rRNA from 1 species